UCUCUGUCCAUCCACACACAAGGACGUUGGCUCAAUAUGUAAUAACCAUGAGCCAGAGUUGGUUCUAGGGAGAAAGAAAUCAAAGGCGCUGGCAGAGCGGGCAGGCAUUUUCCUGAGGAUGAGGUGCACACAGGUACACACAACAAUGAAGUGUUUGUGGGCGAGGCCCAGGCCAACUCUACCAGCAAAGAGCCGAUGGCCAGACCAUGAGCCGGGUCCUCUCAACUGUGGACUUGGCCCACGUUCUUGCCCUGGGAGAAAUUGCUCCCAAGAGCUGAGGGAGUGGAAAGAGAAGGACUCCUUAGACCCCCGGCCUCAGUUAUCUUCAUCUGUGAAAUGUGAAUAAUGGCGACACCUACUGGAAAUACUGCUGUGAGGAGUUCUUGUAAGGGCAAAUGCCUGGAGUGUGGCAGGCACUCGGUAGUCAUCAAAUCCAGCCCCUGGCAACAGUAGAAAACUGUGCUCCCACUCCAAUGACUUCUGCAGCUGCCAUUCUCCUGUUUCCUUUGCCUGGGAUGUCCUCUAGCCAGCCUCCUCUAUCUGGUGAACUCCCAGACCUUCUCCAAGACUCAGCUCCAAUGGCACCCCCUCUGAGAGGCCAGCCUGGACCCUUCCAGGAACAUGGAAGUGCAGGAUGACACCAUAUGACGCUGUAUACUAAUAAAGAAUCAUAACAUUGUCUGCCAGCCUAACAGCCACGCUGUGGAAUCGGGCAGCCUCGCGUGUACAUCCCGGUCCCACCACUUGCUGCCUAGGUGACCUUGAACAAGUUACUUCAUCACUC